UACGUAGGGUGCGAGCGUUGUCCGGAUUUAUUGGGCGUAAAGAGCUCGUAGGCGGUUUGUCGCGUCGGCCGUGAAAUCUCCACGCUUAACGUGGAGCGUGCGGUCGAUACGGGCAGACUUGAGUUCGGUAGGGGAGACUGGAAUUCCUGGUGUAGCGGUGAAAUGCGCAGAUAUCAGGAGGAACACCGGUGGCGAAGGCGGGUCUCUGGGCCGAUACUGACGCUGGGGAGCGAAAGCGUGGGGAGCGAACAGG
rnacentral:rRNA from 1 species